rnacentral:rRNA from 1 species
GUGCCAGCUGCCGCGGUAAUACCGGCAGCCCGAGUGAUGGCCGAUCUUAUUGAGCCUAAAGCGUCCGUAGCUGGCUGCGCAAGUCCGUCGGGAAAUCCACUCGCCCAACGAGUGGGAGUCCGGCGGAAACUGUGCGGCUUGGGACCGGAAGAUCCGAGGGGUACGUCCGGGGUAGGAGUGAAAUCCCGUAAUCCUUGACGGACCACCGAUGGCGAAGGCACCUCGGAAGGACGGAUCCGACAGUGAGGGACGAAAGCUAGGGUCUCGAACCGGAUUAGAUACCCUGGUAGUCC